rnacentral:rRNA from 1 species
UACGUAGGGUGCAAGCGUUGUCCGGAAUUAUUGGGCGUAAAGAGCUCGUAGGCGGUCUGUCGCGUCGGCUGUGAAAACCCGGGGCGUCAACCCCCGGGCCUGCAGUCGAUACGGGCAGACUAGAGUGCGGUAGGGGAGACUGGAAUCCUGGUGUAGCGGUGAAAUGCGCAGAUAUCAGGAGGAACACCGGUGGCGAAGGCGGGUCUCUGGGCCGUAACUGACGCUGAGGAGCGAAAGCGUGGGGAGCGAACAGG